rnacentral:tRNA from 1 species
UGGGGGAUAGUUUAAUUGGCAAAACUACGGAUUCUGGUUCCGUCAUUCUUGGUUCGAGUCCAGGUCCCCCAG